AAGUCGUAACAAGGUCUCCGUUGGUGAACCAGCGGAGGGAUCAUUAUCGAGUUAUUCAACUCCCAAACCCUAUGUGAACUUACCACUUGUUGCUUCGGCGCGCGCUUCGGCGCCGCCGAGGACACUUAAACUCUUUGUUUUUAUAAGCAUUUCUGAGUGGCCGAAAGGCAAAAAUACAAAUGAAUCAAAACUUUCAACAACGGAUCUCUUGGUUCUGGCAUCGAUGAAGAACGCAGCGAAAUGCGAUAAGUAAUGUGAAUUGCAGAAUUCAGUGAAUCAUCGAAUCUUUGAACGCACAUUGCGCCCGCCAGCAUUCUGGCGGGCAUGCCUGUUCGAGCGUCAUUUCAACCCUCGAGCCCGACUCUUUUGAGGACGGCUCGGCGUUGGGGGACGGCAGACUCCCCCCGGCAUCUCGCCGGGGACGCCGCCCCCGAAAUCUAGUGGCGGCCCUCCGAGGCGACCUCUGCGUAGUAACUUGUUCUCGCACCGGAAAGCUCAGAGCGGCCACGCCGUAAAACCCCAACUUUUUUCAGGUUGACCUCGAAUCAGGUAGGACUACCCGCUGAACUUAAGCAUAUCAUA
rnacentral:rRNA from 1 species